GCCCGGGUGGCUCAAUUGGUUGUGCGUCUGACUUCGACUCAGGUCAUGAUUUCAUAGUUCGUGGGUUCGAGUCUCACAUUGGGCU
rnacentral:tRNA from 1 species